AUGUCCUUUUAUUCAUUGACGUAUUCUUUGCAUUCUUAUUUUUAAAAGUACUCAUUCUAAGCAAAACCCAAUUUUAACAUAGCAGCUUCCUUGUUUCUGAUAUUUCCCUUGCAAGUAAAAAGUGCUAAAUGCUUUGAGAUGAUUUGCUAUAGAAGCGAAUAGCCUUUCUCCCACUUGUUCUUUGCAGAUAACAGUUCGCUAUUUUCUAGAGCAAAUCCGUAUGAAGCAAAUAGAAUUCUCAAAUCCUUUGCGUCUAUGAGGAGGCAUCUGGACAGAAAGUUAACUCGAAAAGAUGGAGCUCACUUUUACCCGAAAUGUUCCAAAAAUGGCUCAGCAAGCAAUUCAAUCUAGGGUAAGAGUUAAGGCAGUUGAUCACCACGAGAAAUAUCUUGGUCUACCUACUCUCAUAGGCAGGUCCAAGAAACUCGUUUUUUCCAUGGUGAGAGACAAGGUUUUGGAGAAACUUAUAAGGCUGGAAGGAAAAAGUUAUCCACUGCCGGAAAAGAAGUUCUUAUCAAAGCUAUGGUACAGUCUAUUCCCAUAUACAUCUUGAGCUGCUUUCUCCUU